CACGUAGGCGGACUGGAAAGUUGGAGGUGAAAUCCCAGGGCUCAACCUUGGAGCUGCCUUCAAAACUAUCAGUCUGGAGUUCGAGAGAGGUGAGUGGAAUACCGAGUGUAGAGGUGAAAUUCGUAGAUAUUCGGUGGAACACCAGUGGCGAAGGCGGCUCACUGGCUCGAUACUGACGCUGAGGUGCGAAAGCGUGGGGAGCAAACA
rnacentral:rRNA from 1 species